GGUUGCAAAUGGUUUUUUCCAAAACUUAUAUUAUUUAUUAUAUUCAAUUAAGUAAAUACCAGAAAAGAGAACAUUAAAAUCGUUGUCGAUUUACGGUCAAUUAGUGCUGGUAUUGAAUCAGUCGCGAAAACAUGGGGGUCAUUACUUCGACAGACGGAUCCCAUGAUUAUACUAAAGAAGCAGGAUCAUGGAUCAAGUACUGCACUGGCCUGGGAGGAGUGUGAUCAUCAAUACGGUUCAUUUCCCAGCCGAUUCAACGAUCCGCAUGAUGUGUAAGCCAGCGGUACUCGGAACGGAAUCAGCAUCCGUUGCAAUCGGGAGCAGCCAACACCGUGAAACGUCAACUUCAUGGGUAUUUGCCGGUGCAAUUGCUGCUAGUACUGUCUUUGAUUUACUGUUUAUCAAUAUGGCCAGCAGAUUUCCAGCUAUCUAUCCAUUAACCAGCUGGUGCCACAAGAACCCCCCGGAAUAAACACCGAAGAGGAACGGCAUAACGAAAACCGGUUAAUGAUGCGAUACAAAGGCUAUCUCAAGCAAGAUUUUUUCGGAACACCAAAAUAUAGUUGCUUCCUUUAAACGUCGCCAAGUUAGGAUGGCUAGUGUACUCCUCAAAGAUCCCAGCAGCAGCGCAAAAUCCACAGCGGACCACAUCUCAUCAGCCCAUUAGCUCUCCCACAGCCGUUACUAAAACCGCAUC